rnacentral:lncRNA from 1 species
CCGACUCAGUCGAGAGUUACACUUGUUUCCACAUAGUCGGCGAUUUAGUGGAGCUGAUAGACGUAUUGGAUCCGGAUGUAGGCAAGGUGUUUGUUGUUGGGCAUGACUGGGGAGCUUACAUGGCUUGGUUAUUGUGUCUGUUUAGGCCUGAUAAAGUGAAAGCAUUGGUGAAUUUGAGUGUGCCGUUUUUAAGGACUCAUCGGGAAAUCAAGCCUGUUGAUUUCUGGAGAUCUUAUUAUGGUGCUGAUCAUUACAUAUAUAGAUUUCAGGUAAAUUAUUAUCAAACAUAUUAGAUGCAUAAAUCUUAUUUUAUGAUUUUGAAUUUUUUUCGCUAUGGAAUCUAUGUUUAUCUUAAUUAAUAUUGAUUUCUGAUUCUGUGACCAUAAUUUAAAUUCUGAAGCUAUUAUACACGGGAGGGAUCUCCUUUUACACCAUUCCAUAACUUUUUAAUGAUCCAUAUUUUAUCGAUUCAGUAGUAAAAUUUAUUAAAAUAUUUAUAAUUAUUAUGUAAAAUUUUAAAUUAAUUUAAUAUUUUUAUCAUAUUAAUAUAAAAUAUUGUUUAUUGUCUAUAUAUAUUUAAUAAUUAAAAAUUUUAUAUACAUAAAAUAUUAAUCAUAUAAAAAAUUACUAAAACGUGCAAGAGCAUCUCUCCAUGUAUAUAUAUAUAUGAUCGAACAUACAAAUUAGAAAGUGUAUUGUCUUUUUUUGGCAAUUUCAACUUUUCUAACUAUGAUGUUGACAUUUGACAUUGUAAUUUAAAUCCGGAAUUUCAAUUCGAUUUUGUAUUAGUUUUGGAAAGGUUUUAUUUAUAUAUGUAUAUAUAUACUCUAAAUUUCAGCUAAAUUAUCAAACAUGAUAUAGUAUUUAUUUUGUCAUUUUAACUAUUUUAGUUAUAGAAUUAAUGUUGAUCUUAAUUAAUUGUGAUGUAUGCAUCGGCAAUCCCAAUUUAAAUCCCGAGUUUGGUAAGCUUUUAUGUUAGCUUUAAGUAGAAUUAUCAAGCAUGCGAGUUACAUAUGAAGUCUUUAUUUUAUGAUAUCAAUUUUUUUUUUAAUUUUAAACAUUUGUUAUCGUAAUUUAAAUCUCGGAUUUCAAUUUGAUUUUGCAUUAGAUUUGGAAAGGUUUUAUUUUAUAAAUAUAUAUAUACUCUACACUUCAGCUAAAUAAUCAAACAUACAAAUUAGAUACAGAGCCUUAAUUUUUUUCAUCUUAACUAUUUGAGCUAUAGAAUUAAUGUUUAUCUUAACUAAUUGUGAUGUAUGCAUCCGCAAUCUUAAUUUAAAUCUCAAGUUUGGUAAGCUUUGAUGUCAGCUUUAGGUGGAACUAUCAAGCAUACAAGUUACAUACAGAGUUUUUAUUUUGUGGUUUCGAAUUUAAAUCCCGGGUUUCAUUGAUAUAUAUAUGUAUUUAUUUGUAUAUAUUACAGAAACCUGGAGAAAUAGAAGCUGAAUUUGCAGAGAUUGGAGUGGAGAGAGUUGAGAAGGAACUUUUGACUGAUUUUCCAGUUUUCUUGCCAAAAGGGAAACUCUUCAAACGUCCAUUAGAUGAACCAAUUACAUUGCCUUCUUGGUUGUCCGAGGAAGAAGCUAAUUACUAUGUCACUGUAUUCCAGAAAACUGGCUACACUGGUGCACUCAACUUCUACAGAAACUUUAACAGGUAUAUGUAUAUGUGUGAUAUUAAUUAUUUGGUACAAUUCAUAGAUAGGAUUGAGAAUUUUUGAAUGCUAGUGUACCAAAUAAUAUAUUUAUAUAUCAAAUCAGUCAUAAAAAAUGAUUUUAGGUUGGAAUUUAUGCAUUUAUAACUCUUUUUUUUCUAGUAAAAGUACUAUAGGGGCUCUUGUUUAUGGGUGUUACUGUUUUGAUGGCAGAAACUGGGAACUAUUGAAACCAUGGGUGGGUAGUAAGAUCAAAACACCAACAAAGUUCAUUGUGGGUGAUAAGGAUUUGGUUUACCAUAUGCCUGGUAUCAAGGAUUACAUUCACAAUGGUGGGUUCCAAGAAGAUGUGCCAUCUCUGCAGCAAGUGGUGGUGAUGGAAGGUGUUGGCCAUUUCAUCAACAUGGUGACACCAGACGAGAUCAACAAAUACAUUUCUGACUUCUUUACCCAUUUUGUUUGAAAUAAAUAAAUAAAUAAAUCCAUGUAUUUCAAGUCUUUUGUGUAAUAAUAAUAAUAAUAACACUUUGGCUAAGAUCCAAGUGCUGAAGGGGGAUUUAUGGUUAAGACUGAAUUAUUAAUGUUAGAAUAUGUUUGAAGUAAUUUUGAAUUUUAUUUUUUUUUAUAUUUAGGUUGAAUUAUUAACAUAAUAAUUUUUUUUUAAAUUUAUGGGUGCAAUAUUUUGAAAUUAAAAAAAAUUACUAAAAAAACAUUAUAAUAAAUUUGGACGAUGUUAAUAAUUAAAUUUAUAUUUUUAAAUCUUAAAAAUAAAAUGAUUAAAUUUUAAAUUUAGAAAGAAAACAUAGACUUGUAACGUGGAGGAGUAAAUGCUUUUUUCGAUGAGUUUCGACCAUUUUUUUUGUCUUGUAUUUGAUGAAAGUAAGAGGUUUUAUAUUCUUUUUGUUUUAUCAAUUUGGUUAAUAAAUAAUUUUUUUUUUGUUUUAUGAUUUGACUGUGAUUUUAGCUAUUUUAAGAAUUAAAGACUUGUCAUAUGGAAAUCAAGUGGCUUAUCUCUAGAUAACAGAAGAAUUUAAGGGGGAGAGAAAUACCCAUCUUCUUGAAGGAGUGUCGGCGUUCGUAGUGAAGGUGGUGGAGAAGGAUCGUUGGGGGGUAGCACUAUCGAAUUAACCCUAGGUGUUUACAAAUCAAAAGCCGGUUGUAGCUUCGCGUCUGUCUGAGCUCAGAUCGUCGAGGAUAGUGAAGAGAAUAUGAAGGGUUAAAAACAGAUGUAGAAAUUGAGGUUUAAAGGCCCUUAGAGACUGCUUCAGUUCCGAGGAGAAAAUAGGAUUUGGUUUCAAUGUUGGGAGUGUCCAUUUAUUAUAUUCUGGUUGUUACAAGCCCAAUUUGCCCGGCCCAAAACCCAUUUCUAUAACCCUUAAACCCAAUUACAGAUAAAUUCAAACCUAAAGCCCAAUCUAAAACUAAACCUAGCCCACCAAGCCCACAAAUUUUCAAUUAAAAAAAAAAUCAAAAGGGGCACCUAGGUCUGCCCUUGUCUCAUCCACCACCGACAUUUGCCACCACCUACUCAGCACCGCCCCAACUGCUCCUGCAAGAUGGACACGCAAACAACAGUGAAAAUGAUAAAAAAAUGUAUGUAAUAGCUUUAUAAAAGCCUAAGAGAUGGGAUUGUUUUUUUUUGGGGGGGAUUUUGUCUUCGUUGAAAUACAAAAAGAAACAUCAUCAAAAGGCCUCAAAAUAUUCACUCAAAUCACAGUAAGAAAUAAAAGACAGAAUCAAGGUCUAUAUUUUUUCCUUUUCAUUUUUCUUUUCUUUUUUUUCUUUUCCGAAUUUGUUUAUAUAUUCCAACUCUAUCCUGCUAAAAACAAUAUUUAUAUAUUAGAUAUAAAAAAAUAAUAAAAUAAUAAAAAAUUACCUUGUGGUGAUUUCCGGCCACCGUGUACGGCGGCCGGCACGGCGGAGCCACGGUGGAGGUGACCGGACCCCUUGGCCAGUUCUGGGUUUUCCCCAGAAAGAAAAAAAACUCCCCUUUCCUUUUUUUUUUUCUAAAACUCGGAGGAAAUGAAUUUUUUCAAAAAACAUUUACUUUUAUAGCAC